rnacentral:rRNA from 1 species
AUUGGAUGAGCCCGCGUAAGAUUAGCUAGUUGGUGGGGUAAAGGCCUACCAAGGCAACGAUCUUUAGCUGGUCUGAGAGGAUGAUCAGCCACAUCGGGACUGAGACACGGCCCGGACUCCUACGGGAGGCAGCAGUGGGGAAUAUUGGACAAUGGGCGCAAGCCUGAUCCAGCAAUGCCGCGUGUGUGAAGAAGGCCUGAGGGUUGUAAAGCACUUUCAAUUGUGAGGAAGAGUAUAAGAUUAAUACUCUUGUACUUUGACGUUAACUUUAGAAGAAGCACCGGCUAACGCUGUGCCAGCAGCCGCGGUAAUACAGAGGGUGCAAGCGUUAAUCGGAAUUACUGGGCGUAAAGCGCGCGUAGGCGGUUAUCUAAGUCAGACGUGAAAGCCCUGGGCUCAACCUAGGAACUGCAUCUGAAACUGGGUAACUAGAGUUUAGAAGAGGGGAGUGGAAUUUCAGGUGUAGCGGUGAAAUGCAUAGAGAUCUGAAGGAACACCAGUGGCGAAGGCGACUCCCUGGUCUAAAACUGACGCUGAGGUGCGAAAGCGUGGGUAGCAAACGGGAUUAGAUACCCCGGUAGUCCACGCCGUAAACGAUGUCAACUAGUCGUUGGUCUCCUUGAGGGAUCAGUGACGCAGCUAACGCAUUAAGUUGACCGCCUGGGGGAGUACGGUCGCAAGACUAAAACUCAAAGGAAUUGACGGGGGCCCGCACAAGCGGUGGAGCAUGUGGUUUAAUUCGAUGCAACGCGAAGAACCUUACCAUC